AUUGAACGCUGGCGGCAGGCCUAACACAUGCAAGUCGAGCGGUAGAGAGAAGCUUGCUUCUCUUGAGAGCGGCGGACGGGUGAGUAAUGCCUAGGAAUCUGCCUAGUGGUGGGGGAUAACGUUCGGAAACGGACGCUAAUACCGCAUACGUCCUACGGGAGAAAGCGGGGGAUCUUCGGACCUCGCGCCAUUAGAUGAGCCUAGGUCGGAUUAGCUAGUUGGUGAGGUAAUGGCUCACCAAGGCGACGAUCCGUAACUGGUCUGAGAGGAUGAUCAGUCACACUGGAACUGAGACACGGUCCAGACUCCUACGGGAGGCAGCAGUGGGGAAUAUUGGACAAUGGGCGAAAGCCUGAUCCAGCCAUGCCGCGUGUGUGAAGAAGGUCUUCGGAUUGUAAAGCACUUUAAGUUGGGAGGAA
rnacentral:rRNA from 1 species